GGGCCUUCUGGGUGCAUCUGGGAGGCAGCUCGCCUUCAGAAACACGCUACCUUGACAGGGUGAGCAUCACCCGAUGGACGAGGCACCUGAGAGAGAUCAUCGCUCCAGCCCGCUCAGCUCCAGCAUGGUAGAAACGAGGUUUUCACCCAGUGUGACUUUCCCCAGAGUGCCCCUUUGUCACCUCACUGUCCAAGUUGAGUGAGCAGAUGUUGCAGAAGAACUGUGGGGCCAUGAGAUCUGAAGACACAAAUCCUGUGGCCAUCCCAGCCACCUUCCAGCUGGGACCCAGUCUCCAUCCAUACAGUGGACCGGAGGGAGAAAGCAGAUCAUCUCUGCCUGGACAGUCACUGGCUCAGGGAUCCGCCAAGAACAGUCACGUGGUCCGGCCCCAUUGGUCUGUUGAACUGACCAGGAGGAUCCUCAGUGGGGCACCAAAAAGGGUCACAGGACAUUUACUCAGCAACUGAACAGCCAGGAAGACAAGACCAUGGCCAUGUGCCC
rnacentral:lncRNA from 1 species